AACCUUAUGGACCUGCGGGCGUAUACCUGCGGAAGGAUCAUUACACAAUACAAUAUGAAGGCUGUCCGCAGCUGGAGUAUUUUAUUACCCUUGUCUUUUGCGCACUUGUUGUUUCCUGGGCGGGUUCGCUCGCCACCAGGACCACCAAAUAAACCUUUUUUAUGCAGUUGCAAUCAGCGUCAGUACAAACAAUGUAAAUCAUUUACAACUUUUAACAACGGAUCUCAGAUCGGAAGAGCA
rnacentral:misc_RNA from 1 species